CGCACUGAGUUUCCAACCUCCAUUUCAGCCUGUCUGUCUCAGGGUGCAGCCUUAAUGAGAGGUGAUUCCCAAGCUGCUGGGAACCUGAGGCUGUCAAAGGGGCGGCAGGAAAUGGACAGCAGUAUAAAACCCAGAAGCAGAACUUGAAGGUUAAACCACUAGCCCAUUUCACAGAUUUUCUCCAGGAAACAUGUUUUACUUGUGCACGUUCAGUUGUUUUCAAAUUUUCAGGUGUGAACGCUGGUGAGAGCUGCUUAAAAACAAAGCUAUGGGCCGGGCGCGGUGGCUCACACCUGUAAUCCUCACAUUUUGGGAGGCUGAGGCGGGCGGAUCACUUGAGGUCAGGAGUUCAAGACCAGCCUGGCCAACAUGGUGAAACCCCGUCUCCACUAAAAACACAAAAAUUAGCCGGGCGUGUGGUGGCGGGCCCCUGUAAUCCCAGCUACUCGGGAGGCUGAGGCAGGAGAAUCGCUUGAACCCGGGAGGCAGAGGCUGCAGUGAGCCGAGAUCACGCCACUGCACCCUGCACACUGCACUGGUGACAGAGCGAGACUCCGUCUCAAAAAAAAAAAAAAAA
rnacentral:sRNA from 1 species